UACGGGGGGAGCAAGCGUUGUUCGGAUUUACUGGGCGUAAAGGGCGCGUAGGCGGCCAGCACAAGUCAGUUGUGAAAUCUCCGAGCUUAACUCGGAAAGGUCAACUGAUACUGUGCGGCUAGAGUGCGGAAGGGGCAACUGGAAUUCUUGGUGUAGCGGUGAAAUGCGUAGAUAUCAAGAGGAACACCUGCGGCGAAGGCGGGUUGCUGGGCCGACGUUGACGCUGAGGCACGAAAGCGUGGGGAUCAAACAGG
rnacentral:rRNA from 1 species